UACAGAGGGUGCGAGCGUUAAUCGGAUUUACUGGGCGUAAAGGGCGCGUAGGCGGUUUAAUAGGUGUGAUGUGAAAGCCCUGGGCUUAACCUGGGAAGUGCAUCGCAAACGAUUGAACUGGAGUAGAUGAGAGGGUGGCGGAAUUUCCGGUGUAGCGGUGAAAUGCGUAGAGAUCGGAAGGAACGUCGAUGGCGAAGGCAGCCACCUGGCAUCAUACUGACG
rnacentral:rRNA from 1 species